ensembl:lncRNA
ACAAUUGGAGAAAUUUAGUUUCCGUUGAAAAGUCAAGCAGGGGAAGUCAAUAAAGAAAGAAGGUUGAAAAAGCAGAUACAUGCAACACUAAAAUAAUCCUUAUAUACUGAGGUUUUAUGAAGUGGAAGGAUCUUUCUGUUUAAGAAAUUAAAUUUUAUUUACAACUUAAUGAUUAACAACAUUGCUAGGUUCUGAGCAAGGGACAUUCUUGGGAUGGAGGAAUAUAUAUACAAAAACAUUUGUUUAUUUAAAAAAUGUGCAGUGUCACCAACAGAAAUGUUGGAGUUGGCCAAACUAAAAGAACAGACCAAGAUGGAUUGACAGAAGAUUGAACACCUUGAGGACUGCAUUAAAUACCUCGAAGAGGCCAACAGUGAGUUAAAAAAACGACAAGGAAUUCCUGCUUUUACAAAUUAAGGGAGGCCCCAUGGCACCUGCAUCUACUGGAAAGUCAGGUACAUUAGCAACACAAUUAACGUUCAUGCAGUUUACAAUUCAUGCAGUUUUAAAUGUUUGCGAAAGUCAUGAAGGACAGAGAAACUGUGAUAGAGCCACUAUCAACUUUUCCUUUCUAUCUGGUGCACUUAUUCUUUCAAAUUUAAAAAAAUAAUAAUAAUAAGGUAUUGCUCUUAUUCUAAACAUCUUGCACUUGUAAGUCCUUUCUACAGUGUUUGGAAAAUGUGGUGCAUACAAUGUUGGACAUUUAAGAUAAAUUUCAAUUUUAAACUAGUAACCCUUGAUAUUCUGAAAUGUUCAAUGCUAUUUAAAUGAUAGUUUUAGUAUUCACAGUAUUAGUAAAAGUUUAACGUUUCUCCUAAAAUAAAACUGAAGGCAUCUUAAGACAAAGCUGAUAUCUCAAUGAGACAUAUAAGAGAAUCACCUUUAGUAUCCUGAGCAUAGAGUGACAUCUGUCAGAGCCAUAUCCUUGUGGGCAGCACAUCAAUGUGAAGGCACAACUGAACCUCAGACAACAUGGGUUUGAAUCCCAGCUAAAGGUACUUUCAUGCUCAUGUUUGGUUCUUACUUGUCCAAUUGUUUCCUGUCUCUACUCAUAGUGUACUGACCAUUAAAGACCAUUAAAGUUGAAAAACCCU